CCCCUCUCCUCUUGGGGUGGGGGGAGUCCUUAAGGCGGCCCCCGGAGAGAUGGAGAUGGUGGUCUGAGAACUCCAUUCCCUAAGUCACCUGGAACUGCUCUCCACAAGCUCCAGCCCAGAGAUCCAGCUCUGGGUGAAGUGGGCCGGCUGCACUAAUCUCUUUGCUCUCUCCCAUUGUACAGACGGAGGACACCGAGGCUCGAAGGGAGCCUGUAGCCCAGGAGGGGUGUUAGAAACAAAGAAAUUUGGGGGCACUGAGACAGGUGCGGGGGUGGGGCGGUAACAGGGAGUAAUCGACAUCCUCCAGCCCUCUCCCCUCGGGUCCACUGCUCUCGGGAUAGAAGCCCAGAGGGAUCCUGGAUGGGUCCGAAGCAGGAGGAAGGGCAGGGGUCCUGGCCACCCCAGGGACGGUGGGGGGAGGGGCAGCAGGAUUGACAGUCGGUAAUUGGGUAACUGGAGGCGGCUUCUCCGGCCGGGCAGCCCCGCCACCGCGACGCCGGGCCCCUGACGUCACCCGAUUCGCCAGGAAAUGAACUUUUUAAUAAUCCGAGGAGGGAGGAAAGCCCUCGGUCCCCUCAGCUCGGGGGGCACCCGGCCAGGCCCAGCUCCGCCUGCGCGCCCCGGUCACCCUCUCCCAAGGCCAGCUCUGGGCAGUGGCCGGGGUUGGGGGCCUCCUCCUGCCUCUGCGACCGGCUAUCUGUUCGUCUGUCUGAGGCCCCGGCUCAGGUAAAGGCGCGGGGCCGGGGACGCAGAGCCCCAGCCAGCUGGGAACCGCGGGUCUCCGGCCCUUGGGGACCCGUUUGCCCUGGCCGCCCGCUGCGCCUCCCACCACGCUCCACUCCAGGGCGCGCGGGGCCCGGGUUUCUCGGAACUCCGCUCCGUGGGAGAAGAGGCCGGGCGCCUGCCCGGUAAGGCGCAGCGGGGCCGGGAACCGGAGCUCGAGACCGAGGCGCCCGGCCUCGGCAGCUGGACUGGGCAGCUUACAAUUCAUCAACGCAUAAAAGGCGGUCGCCACGAAGCCUCCAGCCUCUUUUGCCGCCGCGGAGCCCAGCAGGAGCUUCCCAAAGACAACGCGUCCCCAAGGACUAUCCCCCGUGUCCGGCAAGUCUGUCCUGCUGGAGCCCAAACCCCAGGACUCAGCGCAGGAGGGCCCCCGACCCGCUGGCCGGCCGCGAGGCGGUGAGCGCCGGAGCCGAGCGGAAGCUUUCCGCCAGGCUGCGAUCGGCGCCUCGGUUCGCAGGGAGGUGGCCGUUCCCAGCCCUUGGGAAAACAGGUUCUAACCGCCACCGCCAAGCCCGACAGCCAGGGGCCCUGCUGAGACCUGCAGACAAUCCGGCUGCGUUUCACCCUCCUCCACGAACUGCCACGGUUUGCCCAGAAGCCCGCCGGCCCCGCGGCCCGGCAGCAUGACAACUGGUAAAUCGUUUCGUUAGACGCAAUUUGUUUGCAAUUUGUCAUCCCGGCUGGGAAACGCUCUCCAGACGCCUGGGCAGCCGCAAUGGCCCUACCUGCUUCUCCAAUCUUGCCUACUCACGAAGGAAGCCCAGCCUGAGGUGCCUGCGUAGACCCAGAGCUUUCUGCCAGAUGUCCCGAGAGAGACGUGGCUUUUUCCAAAACAACGAAUUUCCUUCCGUGUUUUCCGGGAAAGGAGCGGUCGCUACAUCCGGGGGCCCUGAACAUCAGACCUUUCCCCUCACAGUUGGGGCAACCUGGAGUUCAAGCCUGGCCGCCGCCAAAGGAUUCUAAAUGCCCUGGGUCCAGACAGACCCAGACCGCCGCCGUCGGCGCCUCCCGGCGGCGAUCCCCGAGCCCGCGACGGCUCCAUUCUUAUUGAAAUCCCACUAAAAGGAUUCCGACUCUGGGGCAGGGGGGAGACUUCCAGACCUUGUGCUCUCCCCCACCCGCACCCCAGCCACACAGGAUAAAGGGCGGCGGGGCGCGGCGCGCGGGGGCGCACGCAGGAGCGCGCCGGGUUAAGCCGCGCAAAGCCGGCGCACGGGACCAGUCGGCAGGUGCAGCCGCCGAUCGGCGGCCCGGCUCGGGCGCAUCGCCGCCGAGGCCCGGAGGUGGGGGGCGGCCGAGACAAAGGGCCCAGCUCUGGGGCUGGGAGGCGGGGCGGGGGGGAGCUUUGCGUCUCUUGGAAUAACCGUGGCUCGCGGCCUGUGGCUCCGUCCGAGAAAUGGGAAGGCGGGAGGCUCGAGGCGGGCCUGUGGUCCCCAAUUCCCCAAACACUCCCUCUGACCUGGGGUUCCAGCCGCCGGUAGGGCCAGGGCGAGCCCCAAAGGCCGCAUGUCAGGGACCACUGUUCCAGGCGCACCGCGCGAUUACGGAGCCAGGUGGACCGGCCUGGGAGCUGGAAAGGCCCUGGCGAGGCGGAGAAGGGGCGACUUACCGAGCGAGUUGCAGCGGGCGGCGCCCCCGGGCGGACUGAGCUGGGGCGGAGCGGAGAGUACAGCGAGAUGCCUGGCGAGAGGGACCCACAGGACCCCGCGCGGGUUGACGGCGUUCACCAGCAGGGCCCGGGAGGCACGCCGAGCGGCCUCAUGGUGGUCAGAGUGCCGCUUUUGUUCGCCGGGUGGACAACGGGGGCUGACUGGGGUGGGGGCGAUGGCAGCCAGGAGAUAGAGACUUCAGCGGCAAGUCGGGCGGCAGCGUUUGGCCCUGCCACCUCCCUCUUGCUCCUGCUGCCUCUCCCUCCCCUCCGGCUGCAGCGGCUCUGCUUUUAUUUCGACAGCACUUUGAGGGGGCGGGAGCGCCGCAGGGGGGCAGGAGGGUGCCCGGGGCUCUGCGCCCGGUCUCCCUAGUCCAGCCGCCGGGCGGCGGGCCGAGGGCCGGUAGGAACUCUAGGCGCACACACCCUACUCGCCUCUACACACGCGCAUCCCUGCUGUUAGGGAUGCGCGCUCAGAAUGCCCGGGCGGCUCUCCGGAGACUCUCUCCCCGAGGACCUCGAGAGCCGUGGGCACACACGCUCACACACGCACACACACAAACGCCCGCCUCUCUUCUACUAACCUGCCUGCAGGAGUGCUCACACAGCCGCACACAUAUCUGUGUACACACAUCAGCACUACAGCUGUGGCCGUGUGGGCAUCCCCUGGAGUUCUGGGUCACACAAACAUACCUGCACACACUUAAAGGUAGCCUGACCCUCUGGCGCACGCCCAUACAAACACACACACAUACAGCUCCCCAAUUUACAGGCUGAUUUGGCUAGUGUAGACAAAGCUCCCUUCCUUCCCCACCCAAGCUCCCCAACUCGAGAGUAUACCAGAGCACUUGAAAAGUGGAGUUUGAGGUAUCUCUCCGCCCACCCCAAAGGAACACUCAUGUGGGAGGGAGGAAGGGCGUGAAGGGCUUGUCCUUGGAAGGCUGGGUGGAGGAACUGCGGUAUGGGAGUCUUCACCCCAAGAAACUUCUGGUUUGGGGAGCUAGGGAAGUCCUUGAACUUCCAAAAUUCCUACCGGGAGAUUCGGUUCAACCUGGCAGCUGGAGUCCCAUUCCACUUGCCCAGGGAGUGAGAGUGCCUUGGGGACCUUGGGCCCAAACAGAAAGUUCUUAGGGGCUCAGGUGCACUCAGAGAGGAGGUGCAUUGGUCUGCCAGCUCUGUGGGCACCUGCUGCUUGUGGGUCUAUCUUUGAAACUGGUGGUGACUGCUGCCUGUUCACAGACUGUGCUGAGUGCCGGUGUGUGUCUGUGCAUCUGUGGGCACAUGGGAGGCCUGCAAACUAAGUCUGUUAGCAUGUCCAUUUCUUCUUAUGAGUUCCCGAAAUUUGUGUAUCGUGUGUGUGACGGUUUCAGAAUAUAUCUGUGGAAGUGGAUGUGUGCCCCUGUGGCUGUGCAUCUGUGAGAUCAUUGUGUCCACAAAUCCUAUGAUGGGAAGUGGGUAUUUCCAAGUGUUUGGCUAUAAAUUGGUGUGUGACUCUGUGUGGGUCAGUAGUAGCAUUUUGCUGGAUAUCCUGUGUCAAUGAAUUGGGGGGUUGUCUGCCUGUCUAUCUGUAACGGGGGGGGGUGUUGAGAGGGUAUCUAAGGGUGUCUGCCUAUCUGUGUGUAGCUCCGUGAACAAAUUGAUGAGUGUGGGAUGUUUGUGUAUCUGGGGCAUGGGCAUCUGUGGAUAUGAAUGUAUCUUUGAAUUAUGUGUUUCUCUACCCAA